rnacentral:lncRNA from 1 species
AUCUUUUUUUUUUGCUUUUUGUUCCUAGAUUUUCCGCAUUUUCUGUUCAACAGAGAUUCUUUUAAUUAUUCAAGGUUUUGAGUAUUGUUAAUUUGUCUUCUCACUAAGAGAGCUCAGAUUCCUUUCUCCAGCUGAUUGCCAGCAGCUAUGUCUGCUCCAACUCCUAUCUCAGCUAUAGUUCAUUCAUCAACAUUAGUUACUGCAGGAAUCUUAGUGUUUUUCAAACUGAGGUGGUAUCUGUUUGACUCUUCGUUCGGUGUUCUAUUGGGGGCCUUAUCUUGCGUCACUUUCUUAAUAGGCGGUUUAAUAGGGAUUGUAGAAAAAGAUCUAAAGAAAAUUGUAGCUUUUUCUACUAUAAGGCAAAUUAGUAUAAUUAUCUUCUUUAUCAGCAUAACUUUGCUGAGCAUGGGAUACGCCCACACUUUUUGUCAUGCCCUUUUCAAAACCCUUCUCUUUUGCGGCUGCGGAGUUUUAUUCACCUGAUCCUUUAGGAAUCAGAUAAUUAAAGGCAUUAAAGUGGAUGCAAAAACUUCAUCCAUUAGAUUCUUUAUGGUUUCUGCCCUUUUUGGAAUAAGAGGUUUGAUUUACUCUUCUUCCUUUUUUACGAAGGAUAUUGUCCUAGAGAAGGCGUGUGCAGAUAGGAGGCUUUUUCUGCUUCUGAUACUUUUGACGGGUAGAGUUUUAACCUUGCUCUAUAGAUCUUCUCUGAUAGAAGGGUUGGUGAGCGUUCCUUCAGCAUUCAGUCCUAUUAGAAGGAUUAAAUCCUACUUCUUUUUGCUUAUUUUAUUAUUUAGAUCCUUCUCAUUAAUCGUCUUUAAAAUCCUUAAAAUUUUACUUUGUGAUAACCUUGUUAUUUUCAACCCAUCAGUUAUAACUGGUUUGUUUCUAGUUUUAUUUAUCCUAAUUUUGCUUUUCUUUCCAAAAUUCAGAGCUAAUUUACUUUUAAAAUCAAGGCCCAAUGUUUUCAAUAUAAAAGAUCUUUAUUUCUCGAGAAUAACUUUAUUCUCUAACCCAAACUUCUCUUUAUCCCUCUCUGUUAGGGACCACUACAUAUUUAAACCAGGCUCUUUAAUUCAGACGAUAAGUUCUAGUUUUAAAUAUUCAGGCCUUAAAUUUUUAUUUUUUUCAAUUCUCAUCAUCUUUUUGAUCUAACCUUUUUAGUUUAAAAAGAACGUGNNNNNNNNNNNNNNNNNNNNNNNNNNNNNNNGAUCUUUAUUUCUCGAGAAUAACUUUAUUCUCUAACCCAAACUUCUCUUUAUCUCUCUCUGUUAGGGACCAUUACAUAUUUAAACCAGGCUCUUUAAUUCAGACGAUAAGUUCUAGUUUCAAAUACUCAGGCCUUAAAUUUUUAUUUUUUUCAAUUCUCAUCAUCUUUUUGAUUUAACCUUUUUAGUUUAAGAAGAACGUGGUAUUGAAG